rnacentral:rRNA from 1 species
GACGAACGCUGGCGGCGUGCCUAAUACAUGCAAGUCGAGCGGAUUCUUCCUUCGGGAAGGGUUAGCGGCGGACGGGUGAGUAACACGUAGGCAACCUGCCUGUAAGACCGGGAUAACUAUCGGAAACGAUAGCUAAGAGCGGAUAGCUGGUUCUUUCGCAUGAGAGGAUCAUGAAACACGGUGCAAGCUGUGGCUUACAGAUGGGCCUGCGGCGCAUUAGCUAGUUGGUGGGUUAACGGCCCGCCAAGGCGACGAUGCGUAGCCGACCUGAGAGGGUGAUCGGCCACACUGGGACUGAGACACGGCCCAGACUCCUACGGGAGGCAGCAGUAGGGAAUCUUCCGCAAUGGACGCAAGUCUGACGGAGCAACGCCGCGUGAGUGAUGAAGGUUUUCGGAUCGUAAAGCUCUGUUGCCAGGGAAGAACGGAUGGGAGAGUCACUGCUCUUGUCAUGACGGUACCUGAGAAGAAAGCCCCGGCUAACUACGUGCCAGCCGCCGCAGUAAAAC